UGGAUGGAGGGAAGGAUAGCUUGUGAAUUUGCCUGGGACAAAUCCAGGCUUUCAGAAAUGAGGGAAUACUUGAACACAGGAGAAAACAUUUGAAGAAGGGGACCAAACAGGGUUUAAGCCCCGUCCCUGAUGUUUUGGGACCCUCCUCUGACAUGGCUGCCCUUUGCAAGUUAAUCUUUGGAUAAGAUCCUAGUUGUCAGCAUGAAAGGAAAAGCUGAACACUGUGGCUGGAAAUCUGCCCCCCAGCAGAAGCCCAGUCCCUGCAAUGGAUAUAAACACCCUGUGUCCUUUGCAGAGGGUUUGUUUAUCUCCAUGGAGGGUGGAACAUGACCAGCCCGAGGGAUUUUUGGUGAUACAACAUCGUGAAAAAUGAAUGGGAAAUGCUGGAUUGCUCAGGAGAUGGCCCAGAAGAAUUGGAAGAACAUUCAGUGGUGGCUUAUAAGGGCAACAUGUAUAUUUUUGGUGGGAUGGUGGAUUUGCUUUCACACAAGUAAAAACUCCUCUCUGGACAUAUGACAUUGAUUCCACAAGAUGGACAGAGUGCCGUAACGUACCAGCAGAGAAGGAGAGCUUGGCACCAGCUCACAGAAGAGGUCACAGUGCAGUAGUGUACCAUUCCAGCAUGUACAUCUUUGGGGGAUAUAUGAUGCAUCAAAGGCAUUUUGCAGGAAUUUUGGACUUUCCAUUUUGAUACAGGAAAGUGGUUGUGUGUUUCCAGCCCAUCUCAGAACACCGGUCCAGGACCUCAGCACGGCUAUUCCACAGUGGUUUAUCCUACUGGAAUGUACCUCUUCGGAGGACUGAUGGGGCUGAGUGAGCAGAAGGACUUUUGGAAGUGGGACUUUGUAAGCAGCAGCUGAUCCAACAUCAGAACAAGCCAAGGACCUCCUCCAGUGGUAGGCCAUGCUUCAAUAGUCUGCAAAGACUCUAUGCUGAUUUUUGGCGGAGGGAUUUCAAAUUCCAGUCCUAACGAUGACCUCUGGAAGUAUCAUUUCCAUACGCAGACAUGGAAGCAGCUUAGUAGCACUGCAAACUUUCCUCCUAAGAUGUAUCACUGCAUCUUAGGAAUUGGUGCUGAUUUCCAAACUACCUCAGAUUUCACUAAUACAUCCCCCAGCCACUGGAAGAAUAAUCAGAAGGACCAUGGCCAGCUGGUGCCCAUCCCGCGGCACACUCGCUUUGGCAACUACUUCCACCAGCGGCCCAGGGACGGGACGUUGGGCAGCAAGGAUAGCAACGCCAUUGAAAUGAAAACCUUCAGCUUGCCUCUGGAGCCAGUGGGCUGCCGUGCAUUUCAGACCACCUCAGAGGCAGAAUUAGAGCCAAACAGAGACACAAGCCUUUUGUUGAAGGACAAGUCUCUCCCUCUGUUUCCCUCUUCAGAGAGAGAAACUUUGGCUGCAGCUCAGGUUGUGGGUGAAGAGGAGGGAGGUGACCCUGUGACCGCAGGGGAUGAACUCAGCAGCCACACCAGCACCUUGCUGCUCACUGGGGGCAAACCUUUGUCCAGCUUCGCCGAGAUCUCCUUCAGGCAAAUGGGAGUUCGAUAGCUUGUGAUGGCUUUGAUUACAAAGUGAAAGAAUAAAUUUCCACCACCGCGGCAGUAGGUGGAAAACCAACUGCUUGCAACUGUCUUCAGCUUCCUAUCAGCAUGCUUGGGAAAAAAAUAAUUAAACCUUCUCAUACUUGCUGUGAACAGAUUUUUUACAAUGUUAACGAAACCCAACGUAUAUUGAAGUCACAACUUGCAUGUAAGUUGUGAUUUCUGAGAAGAGCUUGUUGGAAUGCUGCUCUUUUUGUUCCUUUUCUUCCGGUCAGUUCACAUCCUUUCAAAUUGCAGUGGCUGAUGCUGCCUCCAAAAUCUGAACUGCAAGUAACCCCUACUGGCUCCACAGCUGCCAUUUCAGGGUCAAAGCUUGCUCAUGUUGCACUGGCAUUAGAGGGAAAUCUGGUCACAUUUGAAGUAUUAGAUUAAUCUUAAUGGCAACAUUCUCUAAAGUUUUUUAAGGUUUUGUUUUCUUGAGUGUUCUUUGCACAAUAUAUUUGCAACAUGAGAUAAAUAGCCUUACAACAACACAGAAAUCAACCGAACAAACUAGCAAGUGAAAUCUAGAAGAUAUUCAAGGAUUGUAUAUGGACCAUGAGUGCUCCCUGAAAAUCAUCUGCAGCCUUAGACCAGAGGAAGUACAUUAUAUUGACAAGAACAAAGGAAUUGCCAAGUGAGCGUUGGCUUUAAUGACUGAGCACAGGAUCAAAAGGGUUUGACUUCCCAUGGUGGGAUGGGGGCGACAGAAAGAGAAGGGUUUGACAGAAGGGGCACAAAGCAUGGGCUGUUCUGACUGGUAAUUCCUGUUUUAGCCACAAAGGGAUUUCUGCUUUUCCAACUCCCAUCUCUCUGUUUUGUCAACUCAGAUAGCAGUCAUUUCACAUUUCCCCUCUAUCCCAGUAAAUCUUGAGUUCAUGUAUGACUUUCCUUUGCUGAAAAGAAAAAGUACUUUUUUUGAAAGAUCAUAUAGUCCAAUGUUCCAAGCAUUUAUUUCCAUAGAAGUUAUUGAGAUACUGGCCCUCUGACAAAACUUCAGCCAUCUGUAAGAAAUGCUGCUAUCUGAAACUACUAGAAGCUAUAGGUUAAUACUUCUGAACAUUUGAAAAAGAUUGCUUUUCAAAAGUUUCAUAGGAAUAAAGGAUUUCAAGUGAGAAUGUUUACUUGUCAUCAUCUCCUCACAAGUAGCUGUCACAUGAAUUCAAUGGGCAAAUUAUAGAUGAAUUCGUAAAAAGCUACAAGAGUUAUUUGUGACCCUUGUUUGGAAACAGAAAGGAUUGUACUCUUCCACUUAGAUAAAGCCUGCUUUGUUUCCUAUCA